AGCCACAAAUGGAGUUGUGAACAAAACGGCGUCAUUUUCAACUACAUCCAGAGGGGUUGGAAGCUCAUACAAUCCACUCUGAAGGAAUCCUUUCGAUGAAAAAUGGGAUACACGGACACUGAGUAUGGCAAUCAGUCAAUAUAAUCCAUAGAGGGUGAGAGGCUUGUAGCCGAAGCAUGAGUGGCGGCUCAGACAUGCGAAGUGGUUCACCAGGUCGGCCUUAGAGCAAAGCUGUUUGAGAUUGCAGCCCAAAGUGGGUGGCAAACUCUAUCCAAUGCUAAAUACGGGCACGAGUCCGAUAGCGAACAAGUUUCGUGAGUUAAAGUUGAAAAGCACUCUGAAG
rnacentral:ncRNA from 1 species